GCAGCCUCCAUGAGGAAAACCUGAACAAGCAUCUCCAUCUAUUACCUCGAUCUUUCAGUAUCUCCGUCUCUCGCUCUCAAUCUCUCUUCCUCUUUAUCGAUGGAGAUUCAUUAAAAUCAACAACAAGAAGAAGAACUUUUCUCUUUGUCCUGGUCUCUCUACCUCAAUUAAAAGCGACGAAGAAAACCUAAAAUCGAGAACACAGAUUCCUCUUCAAACCUAAAAUAGCUGACGAUGAUCAAGAUAUGGGUGGUUGAGGGAAACUCUUUUCUAUUGUUUUAUCGAUUCCACCCCUAAAUUUUCAAUUAGGGUUUCCAAUUUUGUGUUUUUAGGUGGUUUUAGAUUUCGUUUAGGUUUUUGUGCCUAAUUUUGGUAAUGAAAAAUGGGUUGUCUUUCAGAUCAUUGAUAAUAAUCUUUAUGGAACCUAAAACUUUGGCGUACAAAUCAUUGAUUUUAUAUAGUUGUAUGAUAUUGUGGGUGAUUUCUUUUAUAAUGCUUUCUUGGCCAUAUAUUGUGCAUCUCUGAGCUCACUUAAACUCCUACUUGUAGAUUAGCAAAGAAAAUUAUCCUCGAGUCACUAAAGGAUGGUGACAUCCUUAUUGGUGACGUUCAUGAAAUAAUGACUGAAAGCAUAGGUGUUGUUUUUAUGCCUCAUGGUCUUGGGCAUUUGUUAGGCAUCGACACAUAUGAUCCUGGUGGUUACCCUAAGGAAAUAGAGAGGCCAAAGGAACCAGGAUUGAAAUCUUUGCGUACAGCUAGAGAUCUCCGAGAGGGAAUGGUUAGUAACCUAGAAAACAAGACAUUCACAGCCAACUAUAUUG